CACUGCUGAGGAGUCCCAUACUAGGACGAAACGGCCUUCCAGGGC
rnacentral:hammerhead_ribozyme from 1 species